rnacentral:rRNA from 1 species
GGGGGACAACAGUUGGAAACGACUGCUAAUACCGCAUAAUGUCUACGGACCAAAGGGGGCUUCGGCUCUCGCCUUUAGAUUGGCCCAAGUGGGAUUAGCUAGUUGGUGAGGUAAUGGCUCACCAAGGCGACGAUCCCUAGCUGGUUUGAGAGGAUGAUCAGCCACACUGGGACUGAGACACGGCCCAGACUCCUACGGGAGGCAGCAGUGGGGAAUAUUGCACAAUGGGCGCAAGCCUGAUGCAGCCAUGCCGCGUGUGUGAAGAAGGCCUUCGGGUUGUAAAGCACUUUCAGUCAGGAGGAAAGCGUGGUGGUUAAUACCCGUCAUGUGUGACGUUACUGACAGAAGAAGCACCGGCUAACUCCGUGCCAGCAGCCGCGGUAAUACGGAGGGUGCGAGCGUUAAUCGGAAUUACUGGGCGUAAAGCGUACGCAGGCGGUUUG